CAGGAAUGUUGCUGAAGGCAAGAGAAACAACCUCAAAGAGAAAUGACAGAAGACCAGAUGUAAAUGUUUUAUAUCCGUAUCAAAAUAUGCUGUUGGAGACUGAGGAGAAUUUGUUAUAAGACAAUAAAAUGCCGAAGUCACUUUGAAGUCAAAGUACUGGCAUUUAUUUUACAGGAGAAAAAAACAGGAAAGAAAUUUAAAGUAAAAGGAAGAUUGACCACACAGUACGCUCAGCGG